ensembl:lncRNA
CAGGGAACCACCUGUGUAGGAGGCUCUCCAGGAAAGACUGAACGGGUAUCUUAGAAGUCCCAGAGCAAGCGGGUGUGGGCAGCAAAACGCAACCCUCUCUGAGCUACCAGACUGCAGCACAGCCCUGGCGCCAGCUCCAAGAGUCGGGUGACCUUAACCAAGGCCCUUUCCUCCUGGAGUUCCGUUGUUGUUGUUUUUUUUUCCAGGAAAUUAGAGCUCAUAUUCCUGCCCUGCUUGGCUCACAACGUUGUCCUGAGAAUUAAAUGACAAAUGACCUCCAUCAUGGAUUUUUUCCCUCAUUCAUUCAGUCAAUAAUCAUCUGCCCAGACUCACAUUUCAGCAAGAUGGGAAGAAAUGUUCUCACACACCAACCCCUCCCCCAGUUCCCCUCGCCUCCCUGGCCCCUGUGGAAUAGCUGCAGAGGACUGCGAUGGUUUACACCAGCUGUCAGCUCCGGGGACCAUUGGCCACUCCCAUCAUGCACUCUGCCCGCGGAGGAAGCUUGGCGCGGUCACUGGAGACCUCAGCGCAAAUCAGUGCAAAUGCCUCCUGAAUCAAGUUUGCAAUCCUGGAAGUUUAGUAAAAACAAGCCGCUGUCAGUUUGGCUUCUCACAGCUGGAGGGGUCAAGUCAUCAACACAAUAUAAACCCAGGCCAGCAGAACCUUGUCCUGCUCAGGGCGCCAGACGCCCUCUGGGAAGCAAAGGGUUCGAAAAUGUCUUAAACUUUUCCAGUUUGUUUAUUUUCCAGUGUUUAAUGAUAUUGUCCAUGCAAGGAACCGAACCUCAGCUCCUGCUAACAAUUAAAGAGGUUUUCUAAUUGAGGAGAAAAUGUGAUUUCAAGAGAGAGAAAGAACUUGCACAGGAAGUAAAGCACAUAAUUCCCAUUGAGAACAUGCAUGCAGAAAAGCCUUGAGUUGAGAAGACCCUGAUCAAAUGUGAGCACUGUAGAGAAAGCUGUUGGGGGGACUGAUCCACCCAGGGGGCCUUUUCAGAGCAGGUCACAAAGUGUGCUCCUCUGGUCCCCCUCUGUUGUACCUGGUCACUCCAACACCACCACCAGACAGCUUCAAGAUUGUAGUGUCCUCAGACCUCACCAUCCCACAAGUGCACAUGGAUUCCCACCCAUGAAAAUGACCAGAUUUUACUGCUGUUCGAUCCUGUCUGCCAUAGGUUCACUCUGUGAUUCAGGGGGCCCCUUGGGAGCACCCCACAUGUGCUUAUCAGCAGGACUGUCAUGGGGAGUAGAUCCCAUAUCUCACCAAAGCUUUGUUCCCCCAACCCUGUUUGCUCUCUGAUGCUGUGCAGCCCACAGUCACCCC